rnacentral:tRNA from 1 species
GGCCCCAUCGUCUAAUGGUUUAGGACGCCACCCUUUCACGGUGGAAAUACGGGUUCGAAUCCCGUUGGGGUCACCA